rnacentral:rRNA from 1 species
CCUACGGGAGGCAGCAGUGAGGAAUAUUGGUCAAUGGGCGCGAGCCUGAACCAGCCAAGCAGCGUGCAGGAAGACGGCGCCAAGCGUUGUAAACUUCUUUUGUCCGGGAAUAAAGUGCGCCACGUGUGGCGUUGUGAGUGUACCGGAAGAAUAAGGAUCGGCUAACUCCGUGCCAGCAGCCGCGGUAAUACGGAGGAUGCGGGCGUUAUCCGGAUUUAUUGGGUUUAAAGGGUGCGUAGGCCGUCUGGUAAGUCAGCCGUGAAAUGCCGGGGCUCAACCCCGGCCGAGCGGUGGAAACUGGCGGACUAGAGAGGGCGAGAAGUACGCGGAAUGCGCGGUGUAGCGGUGAAAUGCAUAGAUAUCGCGAAGAACGCCGAUUGCGAAGGCAGCGUACGGGCGCCGUACUGACGCUGAGGCACGAAAGCGUGGGUAUCGAACAGGAUUAGAUACCCUUGUAGUC